rnacentral:piRNA from 1 species
CACUUUGGGAGGCCAAGGUGGGUGUA